CCGUCCACCGAUUGACUAAGGUUUCCAGAGGAAGGCUCGUCCGCUCUGGGUUAGUCGGGUCCUAAGCUGAGGCCGACAGGCGUAGGCGAUGGAUAACAGGUUGAUAUUCCUGUACCACCUAUAAUCGUUUUAAUCGAUGGGGGGACGCAGUAGGAUAGGCGAAGCGUGCGAUUGGAUUGCACGUCUAAGCAGUAAGGCUGAGUAUUAGGCAAAUCCGGUACUCGUUAAGGCUGAGCUGUGAUGGGGAGAAGACAUUGUGUCUUCGAGUCGUUGAUUUCACACUGCCGAGAAAAGCCUCUAGAUAGAAAAUAGGUGCCCGUACCGCAAACCGACACAGGUAGUCAAGAUGAGAAUUCUAAGGUGAGCGAGCGAACUCUCGUUAAGGAACUCGGCAAAAUGACCCCGUAACUUCGGGAGAAGGGGUGCUCUUUAGGGUUAACGCCCAGAAGAGCCGCAGUGAAUAGGCCCAAGCGACUGUUUAUCAAAAACACAGGUCUCUGCUAAACCGUAAGGUGAUGUAUAGGGGCUGACGCCUGCCCGGUGCUGGAAGGUUAAGAGGAGUGGUUAGCUUCUGCGAAGCUACGAAUCGAAGCCCCAGUAAACGGCGGCCGUAACUAUAACGGUCCUAAGGUAGCGAAAUUCCUUGUCGGGUAAGUUCCGACCCGCACGAAAGGCGUAACGAUUUGGGCACUGUCUCAACGAGAGACUCGGUGAAAUCAUAGUACCUGUGAAGAUGCAGGUUACCCGCGACAGGACGGAAAGACCCCGUGGAGCUUUACUGUAGCCUGAUAUUGAAAUUCGGCACAGCUUGUACAGGAUAGGUAGGAGCCUUUGAAACGUGAGCGCUAGCUUACGUGGAGGCGCUGGUGGGAUACUACCCUAGCUGUGUUGGCUUUCUAACCCGCACCACUUA
rnacentral:rRNA from 1 species